CGUACAUUGCGCCCGCUAGUAUUCUAGCAGGCAUGCCUGUUCGAGCGUCAUUUCAACCCUCAGGCUCAGCCUGGUGUUGGGGCACCUAUGCUAUAUAGGCCCUGAAAGUCAGUGGCAGGAUCGCCUGAAACCCAAGUGCAGUAAAUUUUAUCUCGCUUAUGGGGUUCAGCGUGCUUCUCGCCGUAAAACACCCACUGUUUUUCCACAGUUGACCUCGGAUCAGGUAGGAAUACCCGCUGAACUUAA
rnacentral:misc_RNA from 1 species